AUAAGGAAGAAAGCAAAGUUAGACAGAUAUCAAAACAGAGAUGUCGAGGAGGUGUGUGUUAGGUUGUGGCUCUCCCGAAACUCUUUUCACAUUCCCUAAAAUACCGUGGUUGCGGUCUCGAUGGCUCGACUUUUUGCAUUUUGAAGAAGGCGCGAUAUCAGAGAGUUCUCGGCUGUGCUCGAAACACUUUACACAAGAUUCCUUCAAAAACUGGACACGGCACAAAAUGGGCUUUGUGAAGUUUCUGUCGUUGACUGAAAACGCUGUCCCGUCAGUAUACACGGUUGGUGCUUCCCAUACAUUGAAGCCCCUAACAAGAGAUGUGGCCUGUCAGUGUGAUCCUCCAAAUGUGAAGAGUGUGUCAGUCCGCACGGAAAAACAAAAGCAGAAAGUACGGAGUAAAGGGGUUCAAGUGAAGCCUUGCUGGUUGCAGCCGGUUGACACCUCGUUUUCUGAUGCCAAUUCUGCACCUUCAUGUUUCACAUCAACACCAAUUAAAAGACCAAGGAUAGAAGUGUCCACAUUCAGUGAGAACUCAGAGUGCACCUCGAAAGACCUGUCAGACUUCUGUGAGCCUAAUGUUAAGGAAGAGGACAAUGAAAAGUCUGUUCAAACUGCCUCAGUAAAAGAAUGGAAGAGUGAGCCUUACACCUGAAGCACAUCUGCUAGAAAUAAGAUUUUUCAACACAGAGGAAUUAAGUGGAACGUUAAACAGAUAGUUCCAAAAGGGCAUUGUCCCAAGUAUAAAUGACACAUGAGGAACCUGGAUUGCAACGAGGGGUUGUCCAUUCUGUUAGUCCAGAAAAUUAAUGCACUUGGAAAACAGCAUAGUUGUAGUGAGGUUCUGGCCUGAAAGAAAAGUAUCAUCAACCAACAGUGGUCUGCAUCCUCCAAGAUGGGUAAAGCAGCAGCCAUGGAAAUACCGAAGUCCAUCUUUAAAGUUCACCAUCAUAAGAGCUACUUUUUGCUGGUCUGUGACCACCCAUCUCAUGGGAUGAGUUUUGAUUGUAGAAUUUUUGUAUUAUUUUGUUGAUGUCAAAUGCUGUCCGAUUAGUCUAGUUCAGGGGUUCUCAAUCUCGGUCCUGGAGGUCCAGUGUCCUGCAUAUUUUAGCUUCAACUCCAAUUAGACCUGGCCUAGCUAAUCAAGCUCUUACUGGGCUCUCUAGAAACAUCCUUGCAAGUGUGUUGAGACAGGUUGGAGCUAAAAUCUGCAGGACAGCACAUCUCCAGGACCAAGAACAGCUCAUCUAAGUUUGGUCAAUCAACUUUAAGUAGACCAACUCAGUGGCUGUUUCUUAAUACCAAGAACGCAGAGAGCAGCUUGCGAUCUUGUGAAGACCGGCCUUGCCAGUUCACCUUGUAAGAAGGAACUCGCGAGAACAGAGAAUGUGUCCUCUGAGAAAUGAGAUGCUGCAUUCUUCCUAAUGGUCACAUGACCUUCAUAUGUUUUUAAUGGAAAAAUAU